GGGCCGUUAGCUCAACAGGUAGAGCAACUGACUCUUAAUCAGUAGGUUCGGGGUUCGAGUCCCUGACGGCUCA
rnacentral:tRNA from 1 species